CUUGCUCAUUAGAAUCUGAACUAAGACUCGCUAACUUAUUUCCCAUAACUGAGGAGCCCUUAGUAAUAACUCCAACAGUAGUUCAUCACAGAGGCUGGCCCUUUCAGGGGAAUCAGGGGCCAAACUACCUGUGAUAGGCUCUGCUAAGGAAGGAGAACGAGCCAACUCAGAUCUGCUUGUGAGUAAUGAAUUACCUAGAUGGCUGGGUGACAGUUAAUUACUUAGUGAACACCUGGGCCUCAUAAAGGCUUAUAAGGGCUUGGGCAGAUAGCCCUUGACACCUGAAAAGUGGGACCUCUCAGGGAAGCUGGUUUGAGAGUUUACUAGCAGGGGAUGGGCGGAGAGGAACUAAGUUCUGUGAGGGCUAUGAGUGGUGACAGCCUGGUCCCCAUGAAUGGAACUUACUAGACAGCAGCAAGAAGUCAAGGUUGUUGAGGUACUUUAACUUGCUGCUCCAAAGAGCUGCAGCAGUUUGACCUCUGCAGGAGCCCUGAGAUGGACCCCUUAUCCAGAUGAUGGGAGGAGAGGAUCCUGGUCUGAGAAGGUCUUAGUGGUGAUGGGCCUGGAUGGAGAUGGAUGGACUCAGGGUUCCGCGGUUUAAACUGCCGCUGAACAGCGGGGACGGAAGGACCUGAGUGAGUUAAGUAGCGCUCGAGUAUCCAAAAUGCUUUCAGGAUUUUCUUGCUGUGAGAACUUGGAGCAAAGGAUGACCGUGAAAGUCUUGCCGGAGUUACAACUGAGGAAGCUGCACGCGCGUUGCCGUGUGCGGUGGAGUUCCGAGGCGCGUCGACUGCAGAAUAAGAUCCCCAGUUGCCAAUGGGGAUUGUUCUAAUUGUUUUGUUUUGGGGGGAGUUGUCGGAAAACUGAAAUAAAGUUUCUUAGACAUGGAUCCAAAA